rnacentral:rRNA from 1 species
UACGUAGGGGGCAAGCGUUGUCCGGAUUUAUUGGGCGUAAAGAGCGUGUAGGCGGCCAGACAGGUCCGUUGUGAAAACUCGAGGCUCAACCUCGAGACGCCGAUGGAAACCGUCUGGCUAGAGUCCGGAAGAGGAGAGUGGAAUUCCUGGUGUAGCGGUGAAAUGCGCAGAUAUCAGGAAGAACACCCGUGGCUAAGGCGGCUCUCUAGUACGGUACUGACGCUGAGACGCGAAAAGCUGGGGGAGCGAACAGG